GACGAACUGACCUCCAGCGGGCGCCCGU
rnacentral:sRNA from 1 species